rnacentral:rRNA from 1 species
AGCGAACGCUGGCGGCAGGCCUAACACAUGCAAGUCGAACGAAGUCUUCGGACUUAGUGGCGGACGGGUGAGUAACACGUGGGAACGUGCCUUUAGGUUCGGAAUAACUCAGGGAAACUUGUGCUAAUACCGAAUGUGCCCUUCGGGGGAAAGAUUUAUCGCCUUUAGAGCGGCCCGCGUCUGAUUAGCUAGUUGGUGAGGUAAAGGCUCACCAAGGCGACGAUCAGUAGCUGGUCUGAGAGGAUGAUCAGCCACAUUGGGACUGAGACACGGCCCAAACUCCUACGGGAGGCAGCAGUGGGGAAUCUUGCGCAAUGGGCGAAAGCCUGACGCAGCCAUGCCGCGUGAAUGAUGAAGGUCUUAGGAUUGUAAAAUUCUUUCACCGGGGACGAUAAUGACGGUACCCGGAGAAGAAGCCCCGGCUAACUUCGUGCCAGCCGCCGCCGUAA